CGGGUGAGCAAUGUCUGGGAAACUGCCUGAUGGAGGGGGAUAACUACUGGAAACGGUAGCUAAUACCGCAUAACGUCGCAAGACCAAAGAGGGGGACCUUCGGGCCUCUUGCCAUCGGAUGUGCCCAGAUGGGAUUAGCUAGUAGGUGGGGUAACGGCUCACCUAGGCGACGAUCCCUAGCUGGUCUGAGAGGAUGACCAGCCACACUGGAACUGAGACACGGUCCAG
rnacentral:rRNA from 1 species